GGAAACUUUGGUUCAAUUGAUGCAGAUCCUCCUGCAGCCAUGCGUUACACUGAAUGCCGUCUGGAAGCACUCACAGAGGCCAUGCUAUUAGCAGACCUGGAGCAGAACACAGUAGACUUUGUCCCAAAUUUCGACAACUCUCAGAAAGAACCAUCGUUACUUCCUGCUCGUAUUCCUAACUUGUUGUUAAAUGGUGCUUCUGGGAUUGCGGUUGGCAUGGCUACCAAUAUUCCCCCCCAUAAUCUUGGGGAGCUUGUGGAUGCGCUAUCUGCACUGAUUCAUAAUCCAGAAGCCACGCUGCAAGAACUGUUGGAGUACAUGCCUGGUCCUGACUUCCCAACUGGCGGAAUAAUUAUGGGCAACAUUGGAAUUUUGGAGGCAUAUAGGACUGGAAGAGGACGAGUAGUAAUUCGAGGGAAGACUGAUAUUGAAUUACUCGACGCCAAGACAAAACGUGCUGCAAUAAUUAUCCAAGAGAUUCCUUAUCAAACAAACAAAGCGUCCCUUGUUGAGAAAAUUGCUGAUCUUGUGGAAAAUAAGACUUUGGAAGGAGUAAGUGAUAUCCGUGAUGAGAGU
rnacentral:misc_RNA from 1 species